GAUGAACGCUGGCGGCGUGCCUAAUACAUGCAAGUCGAGCGAACGGACGAGUAUCUUGCUUUUCUGAUGUUAGCGGCGGACGGGUGAGUCACACGUGGCUUACCUACCUCUAAGACUUGGAUAACUUCGGGAAACCGUAGCUAAUACCGGAUAAUCUUUUUAACCGCAUGGUUCAAAAGUGAAAGACGGUCUUGCUGUCACUUCUAGAUGUAUCCGCGCUGCAUUAGCUAGUUGGUAAGGUAACGGCUUACCAAGGCAACGAUGCAUAGCCGACCUGAGAGGGGGAACGGCCACACUGGGACUGAGAGGCGGUCCAGACUCCGACGGGAGGCAGAGGUAGGGAAUCUUCCGAGAUGGGCGAAAGACUGAAGGAGCAACGCAGCGUGAGUGAUGAAGGUCUUCGGAUCGUAAGACGCUGUUAUGAGGGAAGAACAUAUGUGUAAGUAACUGUGCACAGCUUGACGGUACCUAAUCAGAAAGCAACGGCUAACUACGUG
rnacentral:rRNA from 1 species